UACGAAGGGGGCUAGCGUUGCUCGGAAUCACUGGGCGUAAAGGGUGCGUAGGCGGGGCUUUAAGUCAGGGGUGAAAUCCUGGAGCUCAACUCCAGAACUGCCUUUGAUACUGAAGAUCUUGAGUUCGGGAGAGGUGAGUGGAACUGCGAGUGUAGAGGUGAAAUUCGUAGAUAUUCGCAAGAACACCAGUGGUGAAGGCGGCUCACUGGCCCGAUACUGACGCUGAGGCACGAAAGCGUGGGGAGCAAACAGG
rnacentral:rRNA from 1 species